rnacentral:rRNA from 1 species
UGGCUCAGUACGCACCGCCCGUGAGAGACACGUGAGCAAUCUGCCCUUGACUCUGGGAUAAGCGCUGGAAACGGCGUCUAAUACCGGAUACGAGCUGCGAAGGCAUCUUCAGCAGCUGGAAAGAACUUCGGUCAAGGAUGAGCUCGCGGCCUAUCAGCUUGUUGGUGAGGUAACGGCUCACCAAGGCGUCGACGGGUAGCCGGCCUGAGAGGGUGACCGGCCACACUGGGACUGAGACACGGCCCAGACUCCUACGGGAGGCAGCAGUGGGGAAUAUUGCACAAUGGGCGCAAGCCUGAUGCAGCAACGCCGCGUGAGGGACGACGGCCUUCGGGUUGUAAACCUCUUUUAGCAGGGAAGAAGCGAAAGUGACGGUACCUGCAGAAAAAGCACCGGCUAACUACGUGCCAGCAGCCGCGGUAAUACGUAGGGUGCAAGCGUUAUCCGGAAUUAUUGGGCGUAAAGAGCUCGUAGGCGGUUUGUCGCGUCUGCUGUGAAAACUGGAGGCUCAACCUCCAGCCUGCAGUGGGUACGGGCAGACUAGAGUGCGGUAGGGGAGAUUGGAAUUCCUGGUGUAGCGGUGGAAUGCGCAGAUAUCAGGAGGAACACCGAUGGCGAAGGCAGAUCUCUGGGCCGUAACUGACGCUGAGGAGCGAAAGGGUGGGGAGCAAACAGGCUUAGAUACCCUGGUAGUCCACCCCGUAAACGUUGGGAACUAGUUGUGGGGUCCAUUCCACGGAUUCCGUGACGCAGCUAACGCAUUAAGUUCCCCGCCUGGGGAGUACGGCCGCAAGGCUAAAACUCAAAGGAAUUGACGGGGACCCGCACAAGCGGCGGAGCAUGCGGAUUAAUUCGAUGCAACGCGAAGAACCUUACCAAGGCUUGACAUAUACGAGAACGGGCCAGAAAUGGUCAACUCUUUGGACACUCGUAAACAGGUGGUGCAUGGUUGUCGUCAGCUCGUGUCGUGAGAUGUUGGGUUAAGUCCCGCAACGAGCGCAACCCUCGUUCUAUGUUGCCAGCACGUAAUGGUGGGAACUCAUGGGAUACUGCCGGGGUCAACUCGGAGGAAGGUGGGGAUGACGUCAAAUCAUCAUGCCCCUUAUGUCUUGGGCUUCACGCAUGCUACAAUGGCCGGUACAAAGGGCUGCAAUACCGUAAGGUGGAGCGAAUCCCAAAAAGCCGGUCCCAGUUCAGAGU